CACGUAGGGCGCAAGCGUUGUCCGGAAUUAUUGGGCGUAAAGAGCUCGUAGGCGGUCUGUUGCGUCCGCUGUGAAAUCUCGGGGCUUAACCCCGAGCCUGCAGUGGAUACGGGCAGACUAGAGGUAGGUAGGGGAGAAUGGAAUUCCCGGUGUAGCGGUGAAAUGCGCAGAUAUCGGGAGGAACACCGGUGGCGAAGGCGGUUCUCUGGGCCUUACCUGACGCUGAGGAGCGAAAGCGUGGGGAGCGAACAGG
rnacentral:rRNA from 1 species